rnacentral:rRNA from 1 species
GACGAACGCUGGCGGCGUGCUUAACACAUGCAAGUCGAACGGAAAGGCCCUGCUUUUGUGGGGUGCUCGAGUGGCGAACGGGUGAGUAACACGUGAGUAACCUGCCCUUGACUUUGGGAUAACUUCAGGAAACUGGGGCUAAUACCGGAUAGGAGCUCCUGCUGCAUGGUGGGGGUUGGAAAGAUUCGGCGGUUGGGGAUGGACUCGCGGCUUGUCAGCUUGUUGGUGGGGUAGUGGCUUACCAAGGCUUUGACGGGUAGCCGGCCUGAGAGGGUGACCGGCACCACUGGAAGUGAGACAGGCACCAGGGGCCUAAGGGAGGCAGCAGUGGCGAAUAGGGGACAAUGGGCGAAAGAUUGAUCCAGCGAUGCCGCGUGUGUGAAGAAGGUCUCCGGAUUGUAAAGCACUGUAAGGUGGGAGGAAGGGCAGUAAGUUAAUACCUUGCUGUGUUGACGUUAACAAGAGAAGAAGCACCGGCUAACUUCGUG